CCUACGGGGGGCAGCAGUGGGGAAUAUUGCACAAUGGGGGAAACCCUGAUGCAGCGACGCCGCGUGAGUGAAGAAGUAAUUCGUUAUGUAAAGCUCUAUCAGCAGGGAAGAAAAUGACGGUACCUGAGUACGACGCCCCGGCUAACUACGUUCCAGCCGCCGCGGUAAUCCGUAGGGGGCAAGCGUUCUCCGGAUUUACUGGGUGUAAAGGGAGCGUAGACGGCAGUGCAAGUCUGGAGUGAAAGGCGGGGGCUCAACCCCCGGACUGCUCUGGAAACUGUACGGCUGGAGUGCAGGAGAGGUAAGUGGAAUUCCUAGUGUAGCGGUGAAAUGCGUAGAUAUUAGGAGGAACACCAGUGGCGAAGGCGGCUUACUGGACUGUAACUGACGUUGAGGCUCGAAAGCGUGGGGAGCAAACAGGAUUAGAUACCCGUGUAGUC
rnacentral:rRNA from 1 species